GUCCCACAGCCUGUUUGACUGCAGAGGAGUUAGAGACUGCACCAGGACCCGGGACACCGCCCCACCCAGAACAAUGGCUCCUGAUGACAAAGACCCCAGGACUGCAGUGGGCACGCUCACUGCAGUCCAGCUGCAGUCCCACCUGAAGAUGGAGCCCAAGACUCUGGGGGCCAUCCAGAUCGUGAUUGGAGCGCUGAUCCUCUGCCUCAGUUCCUCAGUGCUCCAGAUCCACGAGGUCCACUUCACUGGGGACGUGGCUCUGUUCCUAAUCGUGGUGCUGCAGGUGACGCUGUCGGGCUCCGUGCUGGUCCACAGUGGGAGGAGGCCCACCAUGUUCUGGGUGAAGUUUGUGCUGGUGCUUCACCUCAUCAGUGCAGCGUUCACCACGGCCGCCCUGGGUCUGAUGUCCAAACACCUGCCGUACCGUCAGGACUCCUACCACUGUGAACACUGUCGCCGCCUGGAGCUCCACGCUGUGGUACGUGCUUUACAAACCAGCGUAGAUCACAUGGUGCUGCUCUGACUCUGACCCCCAAUUUCCACCGUAUCCGAAACUGCUACGUAACUGCUUCCGAACACUGCUACGUAAC
rnacentral:lncRNA from 1 species